rnacentral:lncRNA from 1 species
AAGAUGUUAUAGGGGAAUCAUGCUUUUUAACAAAAAUUGGAAAAAUAUGAAGGCAAGUUUAAGGAGUAGGAAAAUUUAUAGUGGCAACUGAGGUUUGCUGGCCUGGUGAUUUUCCACCAUACUUCCCAUAAAGCAAGAGGAGAAAAAGCCUGAGUGUAGGAUCUUAGCAUGAAACCACAGCAGGUGCAACAGAAGUUGGUUUAAUGAUUUUAAAAGCAAUGCUAAGACUGAAAAAUGCUUUUUAACAUCCUUCGUACACAAAAGAGUUGGCCUCAAUGUUUUGCUGCUGAGCAAUUGGGGAAAUGAGUAUUUCCAUUGUGGCCUGGAGCCUGCACAUUUCUCUUCUGACUCAUCUCGUGUCUGUAUUCUAAAAGCCUGCCAUGCGGAAGAAUGGGGAAACUCCACACCCUCAUUUCCAGUUAGUUCUCAUCAAUAUGAAAUCAGGCUGCGCUUCAGGUUACUCAAGGCCACCUAAUGUCUGAACGUGGAACAGUGGACAUCCGCUGCCUCAGACUCUGUGAGCCAAAGGGGACCUCAGAGCACAUCCUGGUUGAACAGCUUCUCCCAUCCCCCACACCUGUUUGGAAGUUGGAGAAAUAAGAUAGAGAGGGUUUGGGACUGAAUUGUGUGUCCCCUGCUCCCUUCCCUUCCCCCCAAAAAACAUUUAUGGAAGCCCACGCUGAAGCCCCCGCACUUGUGAAUGCAAACUUACUUGGAAAGAGGGUCUUUGCAGAUGUAAGCAAGCUUCAGAUGAGGUCAUUACGGUGGCCCUAAGCCAACACAACUGCUGUCCUUGCUGGAGGAAGAGAGAUUCUGGGAUGGACACACGAGAGGGGAACACUCUGUGACGGCUGGAGGGAGAGAUUGAAAUGCUGCAGCUGCAGGCUGAGGAGCGCCAAGGGCUGCUGGCAACAACGCAGAACCAAGCAGGAGGUGAGGAAGAAUGCUCCCCUACAGGGACAGAGGGGGCCUGACCCUGCCCGAGACCUUGAUGUUGGAUUUCAGCCUCCAGAACUGUGAGACAAUAUGUUUCCGUUGUUUUAAACCACGUGAUUUGCUACGGCCAUCCUAGGAAGUGGAUACAGAGACAGAGGCAAACUGGUUACGGCCAUCCUAGGAAGAAGUGGAUACAGAGACAGAGGCAAACUGCCUAUGAUCACAGGGAGGGUGAGGGAUGAGGACACCUCUGAACACAGCCCCUGUGAUGCCCCCUCCAGAGUCGGGCCCGUUGUCCUGGGCUUCAGUCCUCCAAGGCAUCACACCGAGGUUGUGGGCAUGUGUGUUUUCUUCCAUCUUGUUUUUGUUCCAAAUUUCUAUAAUAAUUUCCCUCAAGGAGACUUUCCCUGUCUCCCCCUUUUUGGUCUCAAUAACUUUGAAACAGGUAAGUUAAAAGAAUAAAACAACACAUACUCAUAUUCUCUUCACUUAGCAUCAUUAGUUAAUAUUUUGCCAAGUUUGUUUCUCUCUCUGUUUACUUUUGUCUUGAGCCACUUGAAAGCAGCAGACCUCCAGAUAUUUCAUGCCUAAUAUAUUUCAGCAUGUGUCUCCUAAGAACAAAGACAUUCUCCUUCAUAAUGAGCAGGAAUUAAACACCAAAGGAUUAUCUAAUGAAGAUUAUAUUCAAAUGUCUCAGUUUUCCCUAAAUGCCUGUAAUCGAUAUUUUCUUCCUUCCUCUGCUCUCUUCCCCUCUACUCUCCUUCAGUUUGGAUUCAGCAACCCAUCCCCCAGCUGCCAGUUCUCUUUGGUCUCUUUUAAUUUGGAGCAUUGACCCCCCCCUCCCCCGUAGCAACACUGACUCUCUUGAAGAGUCCAAGCCAAUUGCCUACUAGAAUGUCCCACAAUUGGAUUGUCUGUUGUUUCCUCAUGAUUACAUUCAGGUUAACCAUUCUUUGGUAGAAAUAUGACCCAGAUGAGGCUGUGCACUUCCCAUGGUAUCACAUCGGGGAGAACCUCAUGGCAGUUAAUAUCACCAUUGUUGAGGAUGUCAGAUUCAUUGUGAUGGUGGCACCCGUCAGAUCUCCCACUAUAAGGGCACCAUUUUUCCUACUGUAAUUAAGGAAUAAUCUGGGGGAGGGGAGAAUAUUUGAGCAAAGGUUUGUUCUUAACCACUUAGUAUAGUACAUCCAGAGUUAAAAACAAAUGCUGACUCAGUAUUAAGUAUCAUUCCACAGCUGAAAUGCUAUACCUGACAUGUCCUACCUGAUUUACUGCAUGUUUUCCAUAAGGGUUGGGGGGGGGCGCUAAGGUUAACCUUAACCCCCUCCUUUACAAACCACCUGCCUACAGAUAGCUGAAGGUCACUCUCACAGCCUCACCAGCACAUACACUCUUACCCAGGUUUUGGCCCCAGCCGAGAUUUCUGACUCAUUAAAAUGUGCAUUGAAACUUAAGAAGGCAUAUCAAAAAAAUUAACCAUAUCAAGGAGUAAAGCUCUAGGUAGGUAACCCCCAUGCUUGAAGCACAAAAUUAGGUUAGAUAAAUAAAUCAAAGGUUUGCCUCUCAAUAUAUCAAUAGCAUAACUGCCCAAGAAUCACAGAUAAUGUAGAUUUUAUAUGAUUACCUUUGUGGUGGCGAGAUAUUUUCCUUGUUGGCGACCACAAAGCACAUGAACUUGAGAAAGCAGGACAGAAAUAGAUCUCCAGAGCUGUGUCAAUCAUUUUUGAGAGGUCAAAACUCCUCAUGACUUUAAUUGGAAGUUACCACUUUGGUAAUCAGUAUAAUACCAUGAAAACCCACCUAAGUCUCUAAGUGAAUGUUAAGCAAGGUGAUAAUGACCCAUCGGCCACCUAGCCCACCCUUGGGAUGGGUGCCACCGGAGGGUUGGUUCUGCUGUGAAUUCCUGUGGAGGUUUUUUUCUGUAUUGAUUUCUGCACUGGGUUUGCAUGUACCAUGAGAACAGGUGCUUGGUCCCGCUUCUCUCCAGUGGUCCCGAACAGUGUCUGGCACACACCGGGUGUCCGACUUUCAUGGGCCGAAUGAAUGAAUGACUCAAAUAGUGCUCUUCAAGAUUAGGUCAAUUCAGCACUUCAAAGCAAGAGACAUAACCUCGUGGCCCUUUCUCUCUCUUUUGACUUAAUUACAAAGUUUGUUGCUUGGGAGUGUGUGUAAAGUACCCCUUUAAGCUUCUGUAUCUCAGCCUCCAACAUCUUGGCUAGUCAUUUCUCAGUGGACAGCACACCUCCGUGUGCCAGACAGGUCACGAUUCUACCCCCUGAGGCCAUCUCUAUCUCUCUCUUUUUUGCAAAGCAGGAACCAGAAAGGACACGGAAUAUUCCACCAUUUCAUCAUCACUGGUGUAUUUAUCGCCUUCCAAUAUUUCCAUUGCUGAGUUGCUAAAGGUCACAGGGAGAGUGACAUCUGCAGAUUGUUAACAGACUGUAGAAUGUGCUUAAAAACUUGACAUCUUUUUCUCUGCAUGGUUUUAUCUAGAAAUAUUGUGAUUUUGAUUAAUUUUGAUUAAUCAUUUUACUAUAUGACAUUUAAGCAGAAUAAAUAAUCUUACCCAUAAACAU